rnacentral:rRNA from 1 species
GCCCAGACUCCUACGGGAGGCAGCAGUGAGGAAUAUUGGUCAAUGGGCUUACGCCUGAACCAGCCAAGCCGCGUGAGGGAUGAAGGUACAGAGUAUCGUAAACCUCUUUUGUCAGGGAACAAAGGCGGGGACGCGUCCCCGGAUGAGUGUACCUGAAGAAAAAGCAUCGGCUAACUCCGUGCCAGCAGCCGCGGUAAUACGGAGGAUGCGAGCGUUAUCCGGAUUUAUUGGGUUUAAAGGGUGCGCAGGCGGAAUGUCAAGUCAGCGGUAAAAUUUCGGGGCUCAGCCCCGUCGUGCCGUUGAAACUGGCGUUCUUGAGUGAGCGAGAAGUAUGCGGAAUGCGUGGUGUAGCGGUGAAAUGCAUAGAUAUCACGCAGAACUCCGAUUGCGAAGGCAGCAUACCGGCGCUCAACUGACGCUCAUGCACGAAAGCGUGGGUAUCGAACAGGAUUAGAUACCCUCGUAC